UAGCUUCUCCAACAACAAAGCCAACAACACCGUUCUCGUCAAAUGACAAUCCCAACCGCACUUCGCUAGAUGCUCGAUGCAUCCCGCGUGUGAAACCGUUGAAUCAUCACCCGGCUCGUGAUCACUCUCGCAGCGGUGUUCCACACCUUGACGCGUAAACGAAUUCAAUAGAAUGCUAGUGCGUACACACCACUCACAUGAAACUCCACCGCGAUGCAUCAGUUCAUUCCUCCUGUGCUAACUCCGCGAAACAGCUGAUUUGGAUCGCAAACGGUACAACCUUGUCGCCGGUCCACGCGAUGCUGACGGGUUUGGGGGCACAGUAAGGUAACGAGCACGCGUUUUGAUUGACACUAUUUUACGCCCGCCCGCCCGCUACGACACGAACCGCAGGAUGUGUGCCAAAAACUGAUCAUAAGUAAUAGUGUCUUUGAAACCGACAUCGUUUCGCAGGCACAAACGGAUGGAAUCUCAAGAAUCAUACAAUUCCAGUUCUCUUUCGUUCGUCUGUCUGUGGGGCCUGUGAGAUAGCUGCUGGAAUGACUGCACUACAACUGGCACUGUCUACAUUCAACUACUUCUUCCAAAACAAAUAUCGGCGAAGAAGCUUGCCACGCCAGACGGCUGUAAUAACUCUACGUGCUGGAGAUGCUUGAAGGUAAAAAGAGAAAAAUAAGUCAACAAAUACGGUUAAUAAAAUAAAAACGUCUUAACCAUGAA